rnacentral:rRNA from 1 species
CAAGACCUGCACUUUUGGAGCGGCCGAUGUCUGAUUAGCUAGUUGGUGGGGUAAUGGCCUACCAAAGCUUCGAUCAGUAGCUGGUCUGAGAGGACGGCCAGCCACACUGGGACUGAGACACGGCCCAGACUCCUACGGGAGGCAGCAGUGGGGAAUUUUGGACAAUGGGCGCAAGCCUGAUCCAGCCAUGCCGCGUGAGUGAAGAAGGCCUUCGGGUUGUAAAGCUCUUUCAGCCGGGAAGAAAAGGUUGCGACUAAUAAUCGCAAUUCAUGACGGUACCGAAAGAAGAAGCACCGGCUAACUACGUGCCAGCAGCCGCGGUAAUACGUAGGGUGCGAGCGUUAAUCGGAAUUACUGGGCGUAAAGGGUGCGCAGGCGGUUUUGUAAGUCAGAUGUGAAAUCCCCGGGCUUAACCUAGGAACU